UGCAGUGUUGCCAGUAAGAAGUCCUCCACGUCCUCCACUCACAGCCUGCUCCAGCCACGCAAUGAUGCACCAAUACUACUACUGACUGUAGACACCCUUCCUUACGCUGCUGUGGAAGAGGAAAGGGAGGCAUCCUGUUCAGCAUAAAACAUCUGGACAUUACCUUAUAUGGCAAAAGAUGUGAUUCAGUUAAGGAUCUUGAGAGGAGGAACUUCCGUAUUACCGAGACCCUGAUUGUACAUAUGGGACAUUCAGUGAAUGGAGCA